GGCAGAAGUGGAACUUGUGAAUUUGGGCACGACUGCUCCCGGAGGGCAAAAGUCUACAAGCCAUCACCCUGCUCUGCUGCUGCUACAACCUACUGCUGGGGCUCCGCCUGCACGUGCUUCCAGAGGCAGCAACCCAGUCUUCAUCCAGAUUUUCGGCUGUGCUGCUCCCGAUUUCUCUGCUGUGCCAGGGAUGGAAAAUGUAACAUUUUUUUAUUUGUUCGCUUCACACCUCCUGCGUUUCCCUCUGAACAGAGGGCUCCUUUCUUGAGCAACAGUGAAAGCAAACCGCUAUCACAAAGCAAACUUGGGGCCCUGGAAUAUAAAACCGCUCCCUGCAAUAUUUAAAUUCCUUUGAAAACCAUCCUCUGCCAUAUGUCUAUAAACACUGUCCAGCUGCAACGAGCUUCUAGAUUCUUGGAGACCAUCUGAAUUUAGCAAAGAAAUAACAAUACUGUGUGCCGAGAUUGGAGUCAAUUGCCAUUUUAAACCUUUCAUGUGGAUCUUCAGAUAAUUUUUAUUCUUUUUCUGUUGGUGAUGGUUCAGUAGAACUGGGAACAAAGGUGUAAUAUACUUUUUCUUAAAUGAGAUUCAUCGUUCUAAAUAGUUAUAUGAAAAUUAUUGGGUUUAUUACAGGACUUAGAAUAUGAUUGUGCAGUUUAAAAGGCUGACAUUUAAGUUUAAUGUCAUUACUCCUGUCACAUAGUCUGGCUAAUGUGUGUGUUCCAGCAGUUCAGCAUCGCAUUCCUGAUCCCUUCUCUUAGCAAACAACUAAGAGAGAAGAUCCAGAGCUCUCGUUGCAAGAAAACAGACCUUCCUUUACCUAAAGGAGAAAAAAAAAAAACUGUAAUGGUUUUUAUCCUGAAAGUGUGACGCGUACACAGGGGUUUGUAAGCUUCUCCUACACCUUACACCAUGCUGCUUCUGUUGGUUAAUGCUUUUGGCUGCCCAGUGUCACCGUGACCCCGCACAACGCUGUCAAACACCGACUUUUCAUGUAAUUUUAAAACUCAAAUUACUUUACGGACCUCGUGUAAGUCCUUCUGCUCAAUCAGCUUUAUCGCUUGGUUUACAAACAUUUUGGAUCUAAUACAUGAAUGUAUAAUGCGCUGAGUUGCUUGUAUUAUUCCAUUACCAGAAACCACAGGGCAUUUAUUAUAUUAAAAUACAAUACUCAACACUUCACUCUUAAGUCCAAAGUCAGAACCGCAGUUUAAAUAUCUUCUCCCCCCCAUAUUUAUCAUAGAAACUAGCAGAACUUUUACACUUUUAAAUGCCUAACAGGUAUUUGUUUGUAAACUUCCACAGCCAAGCAUUAAGAUUGCCUGCAGCAUAAUGCCAGCUGUCA
rnacentral:lncRNA from 1 species